UUUCGACAGAGUAAAAUGUUAACUCAAAUUUGUAUGGACUUGGAGCGUUGGUCUACGUUUGCUGCUAGUGACGCUUUUCCAACUGCAUACAAAUUUGAGUUAACUUUUACGCUAUCGA
rnacentral:pre_miRNA from 9 species